rnacentral:rRNA from 1 species
GACGAACGCUGGCGGCGUGCUUAACACAUGCAAGUCGAACGGAAAGGCCCUGCUUUUGUGGGGUGCUCGAGUGGCGAACGGGUGAGUAACACGUGAGUAACCUGCCCUUGACUUUGGGAUAACUUCAGGAAACUGGGGCUAAUACCGGAUAGGAGCUCUUGCUGCAUGGUGGGGGUUGGAAAGUUUCGGCGGUUGGGGAUGGACUCGCGGCUUAUCAGCUUGUUGGUGGGGUAGUGGCUUACCAAGGCUUUGACGGGUAGCCGGCCUGAGAGGGUGACCGGCCACAUGGGGACUGAGAUAGGGCCCGGACGCCUACGGGGGGAGGCGGUGGGGAUUAUUGCACAAGGGGCGGAGGCCGGAUGCAGAAACGCCGCGUGGGGAAGGACGGCCUUGGGGUGGAAAACGGCUUUCGCCGGUGACGAAGCGUGGGUACGGUUAAUGGGUAAGAAGCACCGGCUAACUACGUG